rnacentral:rRNA from 1 species
AACGCGAAGAACCUUACCAAGGCUUGACAUAUAGCGAAAAGUGGCAGAGAUGUCAUGUCCGCAAGGGCGCUAUACGGGUGGUGCAUGGUUGUCGUCAGCUCGUGUCGUGAGAUGUUGGGUUAAGUCCCGCAACGAGCGCAACCCUCGUUCUGUGUUACCAGCAUUCAGUUGGGGACUCACAGGAGACUGCCGGGGUCAACUCGGAGGAAGGUGGGGAUGACGUCAAACCAUCAUGCCCCUUAUGUCUUGGGCUGCACGCAUGCUAUAAUGGCCGGUACAAAGUGCUGCGAAAUCGUAAGAUUUAGCGAAUCACAUAAAGCCGGUCUCAGUUCGGAUUGAGGUCUGCAACUCGACCUCAUGAAGUCGGAGUUGCUAGUAAUCGUAGAUCAGCAACGCUACGGUGAAUACGUUCCCGGGUCUUGUACACACCG